CCUCCCGUAGCUCAAUUGGUAGAGCAAUGGCCUUUUAAGCCAGUGGUUCUGGGUCCGAGUCCCAGCGGGAGGA
rnacentral:tRNA from 1 species